rnacentral:tRNA from 1 species
GCCUUCGUCGCAAAGUGGUAUUGCAACGGAUUGCUAAUCCGUGUCCUUCGGGACUCCCGGGUUCAAUUCCCGGCGAGGGCG